UGUACGUUGGUGGUAACGACGUUUGCAGUGCCAACGCGGACCCUCAAGAUAUAUGCGACAAAAUAGGGAAGUUAGUUCUGCAACUGCAGCACGAUGUGGCCCCCGUGGUGUAUACGUCUUCAAAGUGCUGCCAUGUUGCUCCAGCUCUGAAGACGCCGAUGCAGAGCGCCAGAUCAAGAAAACGCGCUUGCUGAACCGCAAGCUGACGGCUACGCUGAAACGCCUGCCGUGUGUUCGAAUCUUAAACGCCGAGCAUCGGUUUCUCAAUUCCUCGAAAGAGCCACGACGUGCGUUCUUAGCAAUUGAUGGGUACCAUGUGCACAGAGGCCAAGGGAUCGAUCAGCUGGCCAAAAUCAUCGUCAGUUCUCUUGCCCGUGACUUCGGACCUGGAGUGAAGUCACAUGCACACAGCGAGCUGGGUAUCUGCUACAGGCUGCUGAAGUGCAGCCACUGCAACACAAAAGGCCACGAAGUCCUGCGAGUGCAGCAAAUUCCUUCGCCUACCUUCCCAACAUGAACCAAGACUGCUUUAGAUCAUCUAUGUGUAAAGCAGCACACAAAAGCAAGACAUGAAAGGAGGAAUACAAUUGAACAGGCCAACCACUGCACUUGCAAUUAGCUUAUUUUGAAGGGAAAAAAAGGAGGGGGUAAUACACAUAUGCACAAGUGCACAACAUUCACAUUUUUUUUAAGCACCGUUAUGAGCAAAAGUCAUUGUUGCAUGUGGUGCACUUGUGGAUAUGUACUAUAUACAUAUUUUUUAAAAGAAUAAACUAGUGGCAAGUGCAACAGUUGUCCUGUUGAAUCAUAUUAAUCCUCUUGUGUCUUUUUUUCUGUGCGCUGCUUUACAUGUUCAGAUGCUCUGUCACCAAUUCACCCGACUUUCAACCUUACUGAAACUUGGCAAAUGCUGCCUGCCAUGAAACGGCCCUUUUCAGGGCCACCCAUGUGUUGUCCGGCUGGUUGCGAAUGCUCCCA